CCCAGGAGNGNNGCCNNCGUNNAUUUCGACGNCAACACGGNAAAACUUACCAGGUCCGGACAUAGUAAGGAUUGACAGAUUGAGAGCUUUUUCUUGAUUCUAUGGGUGGUGGUGCAUGGCCGUUCUUAGUUGGUGGAGUGAUUUGGUCUGGUUAAUUCCGUUAACGAACGAGACCUCAGCCUGCAUAAAUAGUAUUGCGUUUUCUCACGAAAGCGUAGCUUCUUAGAGGACAUUU
rnacentral:rRNA from 1 species